AUUGAACGCUGGCGGCAGGCCUAACACAUGCAAGUCGAACGAGGGGCGGACGGGUGAGUAAUGUCUGGGAAACUGCCUGAUGGAGGGGGAUAACUCCUGGAAACGGUAGCUAAUACCGCAUACCAUCAGAUGUGCCCAGAUGGGAUUAGCUAGUUGGUGGGGUAACGGUUCACCAAGGAGACGAUCCAUAGCUGGUCUGAGAGGAUGACCAGCCAAACUGGAACUGAGACACGGUCCAGACUCCGACGGGAGGCAGCAGUGGGGAAUAUUGCACAAUGGGCGAAAGCCUGAUGCAGCCAUGCCGCGUGUAUGAAGAAGGCCUUCGGGUUGUAAAGUACUUUCAGCGGGGAGGCGUUACCCGAAGAAGAAGCACCGGCUAACUCCGUGCCAGCAGCCGCGGUAAUUC
rnacentral:rRNA from 1 species